rnacentral:rRNA from 1 species
GGUUAAGUGAAUAAGGGCGCACGGUGGAUGCCUUGGCACUAGGAGCCGAUGAAGGACGGGACUAACACCGAUAUGCUUUGGGGAGCUGUACGUAAGCUAUGAUCCAGAGAUUUCCGAAUGGGGGAACCCAACAUCUUUAAUAGGAUGUUACGAUUGUGUGAAUACAUAGCACAUUCGAGGUAGACGCAGAGAACUGAAACAUCUAAGUACCUGCAGGAAGAGAAAGAAAAUUCGAUUCCCUGAGUAGCGGCGAGCGAAACGGGAAAAGCCCAAACCAGCAAGCUUGCUUGUUGGGGUUGUAGGACUCCAAUAUGGUAGUUCUUUCAGAUAGUCGAAUGACUUGGAAAAGUCAGUCAAAGAGGGUAAAAACCCCGUAGACGAAAUGUGGAAGACACCUAGGAGGAUCCUGAGUACGGCGGAACACGAGAAAUUCCGUCGGAAUCCGGGAGGACCAUCUCCCAAGGCUAAAUACUCCCUAGUGACCGAUAGUGAACCAGUACCGUGAGGGAAAGGUGAAAAGCACCCCGGAAGGGGAGUGAAAUAGAACCUGAAACCGUGUGCCUACAACAAGUCAAAGCCCGUUAAUGGGUGAUGGCGUGCCUUUUGUAGAAUGAACCGGCGAGUUACGAUUGCAUGCGAGGUUAAGUUGAAGAGACGGAGCCGCAGCGAAAGCGAGUCUGAAUAGGGCGUUUGAGUAUGUAGUCGUAGACCCGAAACCAUGUGAUCUACCCAUGUCCAGGUUGAAGGUGCGGUAAAACGCACUGGAGGACCGAACCCACGUACGUUGAAAAGUGCGGGGAUGAGGUGUGGGUAGCGGAGAAAUUCCAAACGAACUUGGAGAUAGCUGGUUCUCUCCGAAAUAGCUUUAGGGCUAGCCUCGGAAUUGAGAAUGAUGGAGGUAGAGCACUGUUUGGACUAGGGGCCCAUCUCGGGUUACCGAAUUCAGAUAAACUCCGAAUGCCAUUCAUUCAUAUCCGGGAGUCAGACUGUGAGUGAUAAGAUCCAUAGUCGAAAGGGAAACAGCCCAGACCACCAGCUAAGGUCCCAAAAUAUAUGUUAAGUGGAAAAGGAUGUGGGGUUGCACAGACAACUAGGAUGUUGGCUUAGAAGCAGCCACCAUUUAAAGAGUGCGUAAUAGCUCACUAGUCGAGUGACCCUGCGCCGAAAAUGUACCGGGGCUAAACAUAUUACCGAAGCUGUGGAGUACACCUUUAGGUGUAUUGGUAGGAGAGCGUUCUAAGGGCGUCGAAGGCAGAUCGUGAGGACUGCUGGAGCGCUUAGAAGUGAGAAUGCCGGUAUGAGUAGCGAAAGACAGGUGAGAAUC